UGCAACCUGCGACGACUGGGAGCUGGAGGAGGAAGAGGAGAAUCAGCUCAGCGCCGGCUCCUGGAGAUAUUAAUGAAACGAGGCGUCAGGCGGAUCCUCGGUGAGAGGAGGUGUAUUUACUGAGGCUGUCAGGACGGAGAGAUGGAGUCCAAACUACUGGAAGAUGGGUGAUCAUCUCCGCCUGUCAAGCUGAUCAUCAAUGAUCAGGUGUUGGAGAGUUUGUGGGGCUUCAAGGCUGAGACCAGCAGCAACCCUAUGAAAAUCCAGAGCGUCAGAAAUCAUCUGGAAGAAGUUGAAUCAAACAGCACCAUAAAACCGAGAGCAGCUGAGGAACGAUGACAUCCAGCUGAGGAUCGCCCCAUCACUAUUUUAUGGCAUAUAUAUGUUCUUCUGAAACUGGACCAGGCGGACCCUGGUGACAUUCUCCAAGUCCAUGUCUCCGUUGGUGCUGUCUGGGGAGUCUCCGUUCAG